UACGUAGGGUGCAAGCGUUAAUCGGAAUUACUGGGCGUAAAGCGUGCGCAGGCGGUUAGGGAAGACAGGUGUGAAAUCCCCGGGCUUAACCUGGGAACUGCAUUUGGGACUGCAUCGCUGGAGUGCGGCAGAGGGGGAUGGAAUUCCGCGUGUAGCAGUGAAAUGCGUAGAUAUGCGGAGGAACACCGAUGGCGAAGGCAAUCCCCUGGGCCUGCACUGACGCUCAUGCACGAAAGCGUGGGGAGCAAACAGG
rnacentral:rRNA from 1 species